rnacentral:rRNA from 1 species
GGACGAACGCUGGCGGCGUGCUUAACACAUGCAAGUCGAACGGAAAGGCCCUGCUUUUGUGGGGUGCUCGAGUGGCGAACGGGUGAGUAACACGUGAGUAACCUGCCCUUGACUUUGGGAUAACUUCAGGAAACUGGGGCUAAUACCGGAUAGGAGCUCCUGCUGCAUGGUGGGGGUUGGAAAGUUUCGGCGGUUGGGGAUGGACUCGCGGCUUAUCAGCUUGUUGGUGGGGUAGUGGCUUACCAAGGCUUUGACGGGUAGCCGGCCUGAGAGGGUGACCGGCCACAUUGGGACUGAGAUACGGCCCAGACUCCUACGGGAGGCAGCAGUGGGGAAUAUUGCACAAUGGGCGGAAGCCUGAUGCAGCAACGCCGCGUGCGGGAUGACGGCCUUCGAGUUGUAAACCGCUUUCGCCUGUGACGAAGCGUGAGUGACGGUAAUGGGUAAAGAAGCACCGGCUAACUACGUG